AAGUAUAAUCAUUAAUAUUUAACUAAUACUUAGCUGAAUGAUCAAUAAAUCACUUCAUCUAUCAAAAAUUACAUUUUCAAGUUAAUUUGUGUUUCUGUAUGCCAAAUAAGUAUAUGUAUACCUGGUAAGAGAGAGAGAGAGAGAGAGAGAGAGAGAGAGAGAGAGAGAGAGAUGAAAGUAUAUAUAUGUAUAUAGUUAAAUAAGUAUAUAUGUAUAUAUAUAACAGGCGAAAGAGAAUGGAGACUGUGAUAAUUAACAUAUAUAUUAAAAGUCGAUGGAUGAGAUGGAAACUAAUUAAAACAAGUUCAAGAUAAGAUGAUGAAGUACUGAUGAUAGCAGAAGCUGCUGCUGCUGCCAUUAAUGGAAAGAUUAUCUUCAAAAUGCAAGAACUCGAAAUGGCUUCCAUGGCGGUCUCUGCAAAUUACAGAGGAAGAAUUUCCGACAAAGAACAAGUAGAAGAGAGCAAACCCUACAAGACAACCCACGUACAUCACUCUCUGAAAAUUGAAGAAUAUAUAAUACGCCACCAGUGACAUGUAAUAGGAGUACAUCGUGAUCUCUUCUAUAUAUCACUCAUACAUGUGUGUGUGUAUAUAUAUGUGUGUGUGUGAGUGUGAGUGUGAGUUUGUGUUAUGAGAGUUUUCGAUUACUUUAUACAUAUAUACAUAUAUAUAUAUAGAGAGAGAGAGAGAGAAGAGGGAUUCUCAUGUCAAAAUGUCCACCACAGGAUAUGCAGUUACUGAGCUUUUAUAGAGGCUGGCAAAAACAACAUGAUCACAUGACAGGAUGAGCUUUUUAUAUUAUAUAUGAUAUAAUAUGAUAUGAUAUUAUAUCAUAUGAUGUUAUAUAUACUCAUCCAUCACAUGCUUAUGUUGUUUGUAUUAUAAUGUAUACGUGUAAGUAAAUGUACAUGUACGUAGUAUUGUCACCACUCACAUUAAAUACG
rnacentral:lncRNA from 1 species